UAUAAACAGGCAGGUAAUACAUGAUGAUUCACACUGGUGCCAGUUUACUUACAGUAGAUGUGCUUUGUUUAUUUUUGCAGAAACACCAUAGACGACAGUGAGACCGAGACCGAGCGGAGUCUGCUCCCUACCAUGCUCCUGCACUGAAGUUUUAGUUUAUGGGUAUGUGCGAUGAAGAAAAAGAACACUGUGGGAAAAAAGAACAAUAAAGGGAGCCUGAAUCUCUGAGUAAAGUUCACCUGUCUCCUUUCUGAAUCAUCCUUCACACCCAGACACACACUGGGUUCUACAUGCUCUCUGUCCUGUUUCAUCUUGACAUCUAUCUAGCAUGUAACUAGCUACACUGUCUAUAUAAGCCAGUGGCCCGUAAGGUGUCAUCCUUGAUACAGAAAGUGGGUAUUAUCCCCUCCACAAUCAGCACUGCCAUAAGACCCACAAUUAAACACUAACUGCUGACCCACAGACCAACUACUGAUUCACAAAUACAAAUACUUAAAGAAAUAUAUGCCAAUGCAUGCCAGACCCACAACUAUACAUCAAAACAAUUACACACUAACUACAGAACUAAAAAACCCAACAAGUACAGACUAACCAUAUAUCUAACAAACUACACACCAACUACAGACCCACAGGGCAACUUCAAACAGAGAACAACAUAAUGAUAAUGAGUCUUUAUUGGUCACACAUACAUUACAGCACAGUGAAAUUCUUUUUCUUCGCAUACCUGAGCGUGUUAGGAGGUUGGGGUCAGAGUGCAGGGUCAGCCAUGAUACAGCACCCCUUUGUAGCAAAGAGGGUUAAGGGCCUUGCUCAAGGGCCCAACAGUGACAGCUUGGCAGUGCUGGGGCUUGAACCCCCAACCUUCCAACCAGUAACCCAGAGCCUUAAUCGUCAUGUUACCACUGACCCCACUGAACUACAGACAGACUAGAACCCACAACUACAGACAUGAUGUAUGCACCACCUACAGAUGCUCCACAUCAUAUAAGCUUUAGGUGACAGAGGAUAAGAUCAGGUAGUCAACUGUACCCAGUUAAAUCAGCUGUUUAAUAAUCUGCAGCCUCAUCUCUGCUCAGUAACAAAUUAAGAACACUUGAGGACACAUUUGAAUAUGUUUCUCUUCAUUAUACUACAUGCUGCGCUCAACAACCAACAGUGAUGAAGACUUUACCAAAGGGCACAUAGAGGACACAAAACAAGAGCUAAAAAAUAAGAUGUAAAUCAGCCUCUGAUGUGUGUGUGUGUGUGUGUGUGUGUGUGUGUGUGUGUGUACAGUCCAUGACCGCUAGCCAUGUGAGCGAUUCAGCACCUCCUACACCCACUGAUUCACCUCACACCUUCCACUGAGUACACACACACACACACACACACACACACACACACACACACACAUAACAGCACAUUAG
ensembl:lncRNA